UUGUUUCCUAUUUUUUAAAUUACUAAUAUUAAUAGGCCUGGAAAAACAAUCUGAUUAUACAAAUGAUAAAAUUAUGAUUUUUAAUAGUUCAACAAAACUAAAACCUAGUAUAUAAAUAGAAUUGUUUUUUUAAAAAACAACCUCAUAUCGAGGGGAGACAAAUUAGAAGAUAUCAAGGAAAGAAAGAUGAGUAGACACGAGAGAGAAGCAGGCAGCCCUAACCUUGGUCUCACAGUUAUACUGGGGUUGUGGGGAGCCAUGGAAAUGGAGUGUGCAGAAAACUGACCUGCGGGAGGGAGGAGGCACCUCACCCAGCUCAGAGUGCAGCCUCCAGAAACGCAGUAUGAAGCAAUUCUGUAGUGAGUUGGGAACAAUAAAAGCAGACACCACUUAAAGAAAGCUUGUAUUUGAAGAUGACCCAGGAGGGAAAGCACCCUGUGUGGCCUGCACCUGUGGUAGUCAGUGGCGGCUUCCCUGUCUGUCUUCCCAGCAGGCCAGAGCUCACCUCCCAUCAUGCACCGGGUGAUGACUGCUGCCUUUCCUCAUCAAUCAACCAUAGAACUAGUCUACCAGCGUGGGAAAAUCCCUUUUCUCUCAGUUUCAGCAGUCAAGGUCUAAAGAAUGAACUGGGGAGCUGGCGUACGUGUUUGCCGAAGAGUGUUGGCUUAGCAUGUACAAUACACUUGGAUCAACACCAAACACAGGCAGAAAUGACUGAACUAGCUGUCCUCUUUUCCAGCCCAAAAAUGCACAGUGAAACGGGUAAUCAUGGCAUCUGUGGAUUUCUUUGGUCAGUGCUGAUGGUUUAACAUGCA
rnacentral:lncRNA from 1 species